GUAGAUGUAAAAACCUUUCCCGAAUCUAGCAGCUGGUAGCUCAAGUCCUGAACUUUUUAAGGUUUUUUUUAAGCACAAGAGAAAGGAGGUGGUCUCCCUUUCUUCUGAACCGGCAAGCUGCAAGUGGUCGGUGUUUCCACCUCUGCACCGCAUUCAAAAGCCAAAAUGUGUGUAGCAGCUGUGUCUUUUUUCUUUUUCUUCUACCCUUAUGUUCUCUUC
rnacentral:lncRNA from 1 species